rnacentral:Y_RNA from 1 species
GAAUAGGAAGUAAUGAUUGUUCACAGUCAGUUACAGAUUGAACUCCUUGUUCUACUACUUUCCCCCCUCCUCACUACUGCACUUGACUAGUCUUAA